CGGGUAGAGUAACACGUAAACAACCUGCCUUCAGGAUGGGGACAACAGACGGAAACGACUGCUAAUACCGAAUAAGUUCCAAGAGCCGCAUGGCCCAUGGAAGAAAAGGUGGCCUCUACCUGUAAGCUAUCGCCUGAAGAGGGGUUUGCGUCUGAUUAGCUGGUUGGAGGGGUAACGGCCCACCAAGGCGACGAUCAGUAGCCGGUCUGAGAGGGUGACCGGCCACACUGGGACUGAGACACGGCCCAGACUCCUACGGGAGGCAGCAUG
rnacentral:rRNA from 1 species